UACGAAGGGGGCUAGCGUUGCUCGGAAUCACUGGGCGUAAAGCGCACGUAGGCGGAUCUUUAAGUCAGGGGUGAAAUCCCAAGGCUCAACCUUGGAACUGCCUUUGAUACUGGGGAUCUCGAGUCCGGAAGAGGUGAGUGGAACUGCGAAUGUAGAGGUGAAAUUCGUAGAUAUUCGCAAGAACACCAGUGGCGAAGGCGGCUCACUGGUCCGGUACUGACGCUGAGGUGCGAAAGCGUGGGGAGCAAACGGG
rnacentral:rRNA from 1 species